rnacentral:rRNA from 1 species
UACGUAGGGCGCAAGCGUUGUCCGGAAUUAUUGGGCGUAAAGAGCUCGUAGGCGGUUUGUCGCGUCUGUCGUGAAAGCUUGGGGCUUAACCCCAAGUCUGCGGUGGAUACGGGCAGACUAGAGGCAGGUAGGGGAGAACGGAAUUCCCGGUGUAGCGGUGAAAUGCGCAGAUAUCGGGAGGAACACCGGUGGCGAAGGCGGUUCUCUGGGCCUGUACUGACGCUGAGGAGCGAAAGCAUGGGGAGCGAAUAGG